AUCCUUUUGUGGAUCAUGAUGAUUGGGUACUCACGGCAUUGUGUGAAAUAUGCUGCCUUUGAGCCUUGUUACAACAUUGGCACAGUAUCUGAAUAAAA
ensembl:snoRNA